rnacentral:lncRNA from 1 species
AAAAGACUGGUAAGUUCGCCUGUGCAAUUUGAUUUGAGAGAAGAUGGGUUUGUACUGGAUAAGGGAGCAGCUUAUUUACUGCCACUUUGAGCUGGAAAUAUUGACACGGAUGCCAAAGCUCAGUAUCCUGGUCAACGUAUGCAAGUUAAUGCAGGUGGUUGUCACUGAUUUGACAUAUUUAUUGUUCCUAGGUCAAAUCUUUGAGCGUAACAAAGCCUGAAUCCACCCUUUGGGUGUCUCUGUCUCUUUAUAUUGGCUUAAACUCAAGUAUGGAGAGUGUCACCUUGGCUCAACCCAAAAAUUUACAUUGUUCUCUGCAAAGAUCAGAUGCCUGCCUGUGUCACCGGUUGAGAAUCCCAAGGAAAAAAUUUUAAUAAACCAUUUUUACUUGAAAUGUUUGUUAUUGGAUCAGGAGUGGAAAUGUGAGACUUACAAAUUAUCCAUCUUAUAUAAUCUGCAAUUUUCUUUCAGCUCUGCCACUCCUGAGAGAGACUUAAGUCGUGUCUAUAACUGGCAGCUCAAUAUUUAUCAAACUGAAGAGCCAGGCUGCAGUUUUAAUUAGACAUUCUUUACACACAGAAGCUGCAAGAGGCAAUUGCACGACAAUUAACAGUUACUUUUUUACUGUCACUCAGCUUUGAUAAAACAGAUUAAAAAUUUAAUAUGUUCCUCAUAGUCUGAUUCACCAUCUUCUUGUCUUUUUUGUUUCCCCCAGACACUACAACAGAUUAACUGUCAGAGAAAUACAUUGUAAAAUUACGCCUGUACGAAAGAUCCUUUUGCACUUCAAAAAUCGCCAGAGCACACAAGUGUGUAUUCUUCAGUACACUCGUCACAUUGUUGCCAUUUGUAUUUUCCUGUCACUCACUCUUCAGCAGGGCUGACAUUCCCAAAUGACAGGCUGAGCCGAAGCUUAACUGUUCAUAAAACUGUUCUUGGAAAAAAAUUAUAGGUGAUCUUAAAUCUGACUGCUAAAGAACUAAAUGUAUUUGGCAGCUUCUCCUGCUCUAAUUUGGUUUGUAAGUGCAGGUUGCCAUAUGGAGCAGCUGCUGCAGGAUUUUCAGCAUUUGUGGAGGAAGAAAUUACAGCUUUGUUAAGCUCAAGAUGGGAAACCAGUAUGUUUACUGUAACAUAUAGUAUUUGUUGUUGUUGCUUUUGUUGUCUUUGAAUUCUUAAGAUACAGACAUUGCUCAACGA